AAAAUGCCAGUGAAAAAACAGGAAGGCGAAAUUUCUUUUUGAUUUCGGCCCUGGACUUCCAGUUCGCUGGAGUUUGGCCAUCGGACACAGAUUCUCAGAUUUUUGUGAAUUGAAAGUCGAAUGAUGGCAGCGAAUGGAGACGAUGAUUUCGAUUCGCUAUUUGAGGGGAUGGUCCUCUUUAAUCCUUCCCAAAUUCAAGAGGACCCCCUCCCAGAUAAUCAACAAGACGGUCGUUCUGAUGAUCGUACUGAUGAUGACCUUCAACAUCGUCAAAAUGAUCUUCGUGCAACAUCUACUGUAUCACCAUCGCCUUCUUCGCAGCCCCUUGACGAGAAUCUUUUCUCCGACCUCACACUUGUCACUUCCCUCCAAAACUCACAAGGAGCUGAACCUGAGCUUCCCCUCCAAUCUCAAUCCCCUCAAACAUCCGCAGGCACAAAUGCACCUGUAGUUGCCGCUGAUGCUGCUGUUGCUGCCUCUACCACAACAAUUACCACGAGACAAAGCUCCAGAAAGAAAAAGCGAGCGGGCUUGAGGAUAGGAUAUGGUAGGGAUGCCUUUUCCGAUGAUCCGUCUCAUCUUCCUUCUCCACCGAUCGAACAUCUUGUUUUGAAUUCUAGUCAUGUCGGUUCCGAAACCCCUGACGUCUUGCAAACCGCCAAUUACUCGUCUAAUGCGGAUGCCCUCCCGCCCAAUAUCACCACUGAUGCAGUUGUUAUCUCACCAGCCAGUGAAUCUUCUUAUGAUAAUUCCAAAUUUGAGAUUAGUUCUGAUCAGAAAGAAGAAGAAAUUUCUGGGGAAAAUAAUACUUCUCAGGAUUCUUUUUCUGAGGCUGAGUUUCGGCAAAUUAAGGCCCGGAUAAAUGAAAAGCUUAACAGUGCCCUUCAACUGGUAGCCUCUGUUUCUGCUGUCCGGAAGGAUUCGAUCAGGAAUAGAAGAAAAGCCGUUGAAAAUGCGAAUCUUGCUUCUGUCAAGUACAUGGAACUUGAAAAGCAGUUGGAAGAAGCCUGUGAAGCCGAAGAUUUUGAAAGGGCUGAAAGGGUCAGCCAAGACCUUUCGGCUGCUGAAAAGGAGAAACAAGCUUGCGUGAAUUCUCUGAGGGAGGCAGAUGCGUUCAUCGAUUCUGUAGAUUUCAAGAUGCAACAAGCACUUGACUCCCAGAUUACCGCUGAGGAAGAAUGCGCAGUCUUACUGGAGCAGUUUGCAACGAAUGCUGCAAAUAAUGCGGAUCUCACCUUGAAAAAAGCAGCAUCAAUGCAUUCAAUAGAAAUGGAUGAAUGGUUAUCAUCAUCUGAAUCCUUGGAGGUCAGAAAGAUGGAACUAGAGAUUGAAUCACAAUUUAUGAGUGAAGCUCAGGUGGAGUUGAAUAACACCAUUGAGCAUUCAAUCCUGGAUGAUAAAAGAGAAAAAGAAAACCUUUGUAGAAGAAAGGGCAUCUUAACGGAUGAGCUGGAAAAGCUACUUGCUUUAGUCAAACAAAAAGAAAUGGAAAUCGCAGAAAAUGAUGCUCAUAUCGAAGCUGUGGAAAAGAAAAUAUCUAACGUGGUUUCUGGAUUUCAGGAAAUUCAGUCAAGCAUUGAUCUUAAGUAUGAUAACUUGCAAUCUGUCCUUGCUCAAGUGAGCUUAGAGACUGAAACUUUAUCCCGAAAGAAGCAGGAAAUUGAUGACUUUCUCAGUCAGGGGGAAGGGAUGGGAGCAAAGCUAAUGGAACUUGCUAGGAUUUCUGAGGAAGAAGCAAAAGGAUAUCGUGAAGCAGUUGGUGCAAGAAAAAGCCUCAUGUCAUCAAUAUUGAAAUCCAGGGAGGAAAAAGUGACACUUGCAAACAAUGAGGAAAAGCUUUCUGAAGAUGUCAAAUUGCUCCAAGAGGAGGUUUCUGCUGCUAGAGCUUCCUUGCAGGAACUAUCAUCAAGAAAAUCAAGCAUUCAGCAAGAUAUAGCAUCUCUAAAGCAGAGGAUUAUUUUCAUAGAUAAAAGAGUCCCAGAACUUGAAGCAGAGAAGAAAGUUGCUACUGCUGCUAGAAAUUUUAAGGAGGCUGCACGGAUAGCUGCCGAGGCCAAGUCACUGUAUGUUGAAAAAGAGGACAUGCAGAUAAACAUGGACACAGGGACUUCAAAUCUUGAGAAGGUUGAGGAAGAAAUCAAAUCUACCCUUAAACAAUUGAAGGAGACUGAGGAAGUGAUUCUAUUCAAGGGAAAGGAAUUGGCAAUGGCCAGAUUUCAGAGGCUACUUUUGGCAGCUGGUACUGCCAGAGCAGAAAAAGCUGCUGCAUUGGAGAUGGGUGAUGUGGAAGAAGCUAAUCUCCUACUCGCGGAAGCUGAAGCUGCAGACUCUGAAGCUGAGAAACUUCAGUCAACAUACAAUUUCAAGGCAGAAGAUUUCACAAAUUUGAAAAAUCAUUUCAUUUCAAUUGAUCUUGUGUCGCACCUCGGUUCCAAACAGUUGGCAGAAUUAGCUACACCACAUCACCAGUUUUCCGGUUGAUUGUUCAGACUACAGUGGAUUUUGUGAUUGUCAAUGGAUGAUUUUAUGAUGGAAGAAUAUAAAAAUUCUGAUAAUUAUAUGGUGCUGAAAGUCCUGAAUCGUUUUUAGGCUCAAGUCUUCCAUUGGAACACUAUAGAGACACUGUUCUUGUUUCCCUUCAUUCAGAUGAUUGCGGAGUUGAAGUUUAUAUCAAGUUGUGCCUCUUCUCUAACUUCCCGAGUGGUUCUGCCCUGACCAGUGAAAGAAGAGAGAUCAACCCCAAUGUACAUGAGGGAGUUACAUUUACAAGAUGAUCUAUAUCAAGGGCCCACAUACACUCAUGAUUGUGGCAGCAUCUUUGGUGUUGUUUUCUCCUCCUUAAAGAGGCUUUAUCUUGGUUGUUUGAGACAUCCAUCAUAUGCCUUGUGUUUUGAAGUCUAUGACUCUAAAGCAACAUUGGACUGCAGAUUUUUAGGGAGGGAAGAAAAGGGCAGCUUUCUUGUUUGGAGUGUUUGGAGUACCGUAUCCUCUCUAGAGGAUCCGGACAAUCUGACACGCCUACUAAUUCUUCACUGUAAGCUUGAAUCAACGUGUGUUCUGCAUAGAAGUGUUAAUUUGGUACACUGACUAACUGAGCGAAAAUAAUUUUAUGAACGAAGAUUUAUUUUCUA